rnacentral:rRNA from 1 species
GAUGAACGCUAGCUACAGGCUUAACACAUGCAAGUCGAGGGGAAACGAUAGAGAAAGCUUGCUUUUGAUGGGCGUCGACCGGCGCACGGGUGAGUAACGCGUAUCCAACCUGCCCACCACUUGGGGAUAACCUUGCGAAAGUAAGACUAAUACCCGAUGAUAUCCCUAGAAGACAUCUGAAAGGGAUUAAAGAUUUAUCGGUGAUGGAUGGGGAUGCGUCUGAUUAGCUUGUUGGCGGGGUAACGGCCCACCAAGGCGACGAUCAGUAGGGGUUCUGAGAGGAAGGUCCCCCACAUUGGAACUGAGACACGGUCCAAACUCCUACGGGAGGCAGCAGUGAGGAAUAUUGGUCAAUGGGCGAGAGCCUGAACCAGCCAAGUAGCGUGCGGGACGACGGCCCUAUGGGUUGUAAACCGCUUUUGAUUGGGAACAAAGAGCGCCACGUGUGGUGCGUUGCGUGUACCUUUCGAAUAAGCAUCGGCUAAUUCCGUG